GCAGCACGAGCCUUCCCGCAAUAGUGGAUUGUUUUGUUUCGUGGUAAUUUUUUAAGAGGACAAGUGGCGUUACCCCCACGGGGGUGAGCAACUACAGGUCUGUGACGCCCUUAGAUUUCCGGGACCGCGCGCGCGUCUCACUGAAGGAAUCAGCGUGGAUGCUUCCCUGGCCCGAAAGGGUUGGGAAACCCGCUUGAAUCUCUUCGUGAUAGGGAUAGGGGCUUGAAAUUCUUCCCCAUGAACGAGGAAUUCCCAGUAAGCGCGAGUCAUAAGCUCGCGUUGAUUACGUCCCUGCCCUUUGUACACACCGCCCGUCGCUACUACCGAUUGAACGGUUUAGUGAGGGCCUCGGAUUGGUCUCGGCCCGCCCUUCACCGGGCGGCGCCGUGGGUGAGAAGAAGCUCGAACUUGAUCGUUUAGAGGAAGUAAAAGUCGUAACAAGGUCCCCGUAGGUGAACCUGCAAAAGGAUCAUUUU
rnacentral:rRNA from 1 species